GGGGAAUAUUGCACAAUGGGGGAAACCCUGAUGCAGCGACGCCGCGUGAGUGAAGAAGUGCUUCGGCAUGUAAAGCUCUAUCAGCAGGGAAGAAGAUGACGGUACCUGACUAAGAAGCCCCGGCUAACUACGUGCCAGCAGCCGCGGUAAUACGUAGGGGGCAAGCGUUAUCCGGAUUUACUGGGUGUAAAGGGAGCGUAGGUGGUGCGGCAAGUCAGAUGUGAAAACCCGGGGCUCAACCCCGGGACUGCAUUUGAAACUGUCGUGCUAGAGUGCAGGAGAGGUAAGUGGAAUUCCUAGUGUAGCGGUGAAAUGCGUAGAUAUUAGGAGGAACACCAGUGGCGAAGGCGGCUUACUGGACUGUAACUGACACUGAGGCUCGAAAGCGUGGGGAGCAAAC
rnacentral:rRNA from 1 species